ensembl:lncRNA
GUGGGCUUCCGAGUAAAGGGUGCAGGGGCCGGCCUCGCACGCGCACGCCGCAUCCGCCUCCUCGCCACUCGCUUCCCCCUGAGACGCACAGACGAAUGUUAGUCCCGCGUCCCUGUCGUGGUUGGGUCACUGAUAUUUAAGGUCUGUAAACAUGAUCGGUCUGCUUGUUUCGCCCUAUGGGGAUGCCCGGUUGUGCAGGUGACGGGUGCAAAUGAAUGACCUCACCCCACAGUCGUUGUCGGACGUCUCUCCGGAGGAAAAGAGGCCGCGGGGGUCAGGUUCCGUCCGCAGCAUGACCUCCGACCCGGCUCACGCGCUCCACGUAGACCUGCUGCAGCGCACGAACAGCUCGGUAACAGGUCGACACGACGAGUCCAACUCGUUAAAGGCGAGAAAAUGUACGAUAAUCAUCUGUGCAGGCGAUCCACUAGUGACACGUUGUUUUUUUAACAAACUAAAUUCUGUUGUCUCAUUUAGUGAUUUGAAGCCAAAUGAAGGAAGCUCUUGUAAUUGGUUCCGUUUUGUAAUAACAAUAAUAUCUUGGUAAUGACUUUACUUACACAUGUUUUAUCAAUAAUACAGGCCUUUUUUAAUUUAUUUUUUUCAAUUAAAUUGAAUUUUAUUCCAUUUCUUAUUCGGUGGUGAGACGAUGCCUUCUUUGCGCAACAUCAACAACUGUAACAUCUGCUCAGCGGCGUCGGCACGCGCGUUACGUAACAGCCUGUACGACGCUCAAUGUCAGAGCGGGGCAACUUUUCAAAAACGACACGGGGGGGGGGGGGUUACAUUCAAACACAUAAAAUCAUUAUCAUUAAACACAUAAUCAUUAUUAUUAAAAUAACUUAUUUCCGAGCAAUAACAAAAUAAAACAGAGUAACCCAUUUUAUUUUGUUGUUGUUGUUUUUUUUACCUCAUGCGCAUCCCGUGGCGGAACAUGGAGCAAACCGGUGAAAGUGAUUAUUCAGAGGAUGAGCGCGCGGCGACGCUUCUCGUUGUGGCGGCUCGCGGGGGCCGGCGGCUCGCGCUGCUGUGCGAUGUUUGACAUUGUGGAAAAUCCUCCCGCGUGAUGUCCGCCCGAGCGAUGACACGCAGCUCCGCGGUCCGGUGCGAAGCGCGCUCACCGGCAUGCCGAGUGGACCCGAAGCAAACCGCGGGAGCGCGCAAAGCGGCGGCGGCGGCGACUUCCGUUCGGGGCUUUCGAAAUAAAAGGGGGCGUUGAAGGACAGCAAACAGGUUUGUGGUUCGAUUCCAGACUGCCCCAUGUUCCAUGUCAAAGUGUCCCUGAGCAAGAC